rnacentral:rRNA from 1 species
UAACGAGGCUGCUUGCAGCCGAAGUGAGUGAUACCCUGCUUCCAGGAAAAGCCACUAAGCUUCAGCUACACAGGACCGUACCGCAAACCGACACUGGUGCGCGAGAUGAGUAUUCUAAGGCGCUUGAGAGAACUCAGGAGAAGGAACUCGGCAAAUUGACACCGUAACUUCGGAAGAAGGUGUGCCUUUAGUAGGUGAAGUCCCUCGCGGAUGGAGCCCAAUGAGGUUGCAAAAAAUCGGUGGCUGCGACUGUUUAUUAAAAACACAGCACUCUGCAAACACGAAAGUGGACGUAUAGGGUGUGACGCCUGCCCGGUGCUGGAAGAUUAAAUGAUGAGGUGCAAGCUCUUGAUUGAAGUCCCAGUAAACGGCGGCCGUAACAAUAACGGUCCUAAGGUAGCGAAAUUCCUUGUCGGGUAAGUUCCGACCUGCACGAAUGGCGUAACGAUGGCCACACUGUCUCCUCCUGAGACUCAGCGAAGUUGAAAUGUUUGUGAUGAUGCAAUCUCCCCGCGGAAAGACGGAAAGACCCCAUGAACCUUUACUGUAGCUUUGUAUUGGACUUUGAACAGAUCUGUGUAGGAUAGGUGGGAGGCUUUGAAGCAGGGUCGCUAGAUCUUGUGGAGCCAACGUUGAAAUACCACCCUGGUGUGUUUGAGGUUCUAACCUAGGUCCAUUAUCUGGAUCGGGGACAAUGCAUGGUAGGCAGUUUGACUGGGGCGGUCUCCUCCCAAAGUGUAACGGAGGAGUUCGAAGGUACGCUAGGUACGGUCGGACAUCGUGCUAAUAGUGCAAUGGCAUAAGCGUGCUUAACUGCGAGACUGACAAGUCGAGCAGAUGCGAAAGCAGGACAUAGUGAUCCGGUGGUUCUGUAUGGAAGGGCCAUCGCUCAACGGAUAAAAGGUACUCUGGGGAUAACAGGCUGAUACCGCCCAAGAGUUCAUAUCGACGGCGGUGUUUGGCACCUCGAUGUCGGCUCAUCUCAUCCUGGGGCUGUAGCCGGUCCCAAGGGUAUGGCUGUUCGCCAUUUAAAGAGGUACGUGAGCUGGGUUUAAAACGUCGUGAGACAGUUUGGUCCCUAUCUUCCGUGGGCGCUGCAGAUUUGAGGAAGCCUGCUCCUAGUACGAGAGGACCGGAGUGGACAUACCUCUGGUGUAUCGGUUGUCACGCCAGUGGCAUUGCCGAGUAGCUAAGUGUGGAAGAGAUAACCGCUGAAAGCAUCUAAGCGGGAAACUCGUUUCAAGAUGAGAUCUGCCGGGGCCUUGAGCCCCCUAAAGAGUCGUUCAAGACCAGGACGUUGAUAGGCAGGGUGUGGAAGCGCAGUAAUGCGUUAAGCUAACCUGUACUAAUUGCUCGUGCGACUUGAC